rnacentral:tRNA from 1 species
GGCCAGGUAGCUCAGUUGGUAGAGCAAGGGACUGAAAAUCCCUGUGUCGGCGGUUCGAUUCCGUCCCUGGCCA